rnacentral:tRNA from 1 species
AUUCUUUUAGUAUAAAAAGUAUUUUUGACUUCCAAUCAAAAAGUAAAAUAAAAUUUUUAAAGAAUA